GUAUUUUUGAAGAAUGGCUCCAGCCAAUUUGUGUGUGCUGAGGCAGUCUGCAAACCUGCUCCUUAAUGUCAUCAAUGGUAUUCAGAGAAUUUAAGACUCAACACCUGCCUAUGAAGACUGUAGCUUCAGUAGCCAGAAUGACACAUGCAACAAAUUACCUGCUUUUGGAGGAGUCUUUGGAGCUGGUUUCUUCUUCACUGUUGCUUCACCUAGUUAAUAAAUAAAUAAAUAAAUAAAAGAAGUUAAUUCAAAGGUGAGUUUUGGAAGGUACCAGAUGAACUGCAAAGCUUACAUCCAUAGCAAUGUUUUGUUGGUACAUGAAAAUAUAAUAUGUUCUUUCAGCAUAUUAAACUCAAGGAUUAAAAAUACUUUCUGAAAACA